GACGUAGGAGGCGAGCGUUGUCCGGAUUCAUUGGGCGUAAAGAGCUCGUAGGCGGUUUGUCGCGUCUGCUGUGAAAACUCGAGGCUCAACCUCGGGCUUGCAGUGGGUACGGGCAGACUAGAGUGCGGUAGGGGAGACUGGAAUUCCUGGUGUAGCGGUGAAAUGCGCAGAUAUCAGGAGGAACACCGGUGGCGAAGGCGGCUCUCUGGGACGGUACUGGACGGCUGAGACGCGAAAGCCGUGGGGAGCGAACAGG
rnacentral:rRNA from 1 species